GAAGUGAUCCUCUUCUUCCAAUAAAUUCCAUUAUCGGUCCAGAAACUAUGGCUCCAAUUGGCGUUGCCAAACUGUGCACUGAUGCUGUAAUUUUAUUCAAAUUUACAGUUCACUUCUAGUGCAGACUUUGAACGAAACUCCAGUGAAUUGGUUUUAUAUGCUUUUAGUAUUUUGGCUUGACAGUGGCGAAUUUUCUUCAAAUUCUUUUGUUCUGUUGAUCAGGACAAGAAUUAAUGGAUCAGGCGAUUGAAGUUGGA